rnacentral:tRNA from 1 species
AGAAAAGUAAGCUAAAUGUUAAGCUAAUGGGUUCAUACCCCAUCCAUAGAGUAUCAACUCUCUUCUCUA